UAGUAAUUCUUGUAUUAUUAAUAUGGAAUUUUUACUUGUGAUGUCCGAUUUUGAGUCCAGUGAUUCAGAUGACUUAUUAGACGCAUUGUCCAGCUUGAGAGUGGUGAUGAAAUAGAUUUAUUCUAAGAAACAGAUAGAGUAAAAAAUAAGAACUA